rnacentral:rRNA from 1 species
AUUGAACGCUGGCGGCAGGCCUAACACAUGCAAGUCGAGCGAGCGGCGGACGGGUGAGUAAUGUAUGGGGACUGCCCGAUAGAGGGGGAUAACUACUGGAAACGGUGGCUAAUACCGCAUACUAUCGGAUAACCCAUAUGGGAUUAGCUAGUAGGUGGGGUAAAGGCUCACCUAGGCGACGAUCUCUAGCUGGUCUGAGAGGAUGAUCAGCCACACUGGGACUGAGACACGGCCCAGACUCCUACGGAGGCAGCAGUGGGGGAUAUUGCACAAUGGGCGAAAGCCUGAUGCAGCGACGCCGCGUGGGGGAUGAAGGCUUUCGGGUUGUAAACCUCUUUCGCUAUCGAACGGGUAGGUGGAGAAGAAGCGCCGGCUAACUACGUGCCAGCAGCCGCGGUAAUUC